GGCAGUUCUUAGAUUAGAGGAAGUGGGCAAGGAAUUAACAAGGCUUCCAUUCAACAAUUUCUAUUUUCUCCAUGAAAUAGGAGGCCAGAGGUUUAUUGAAGGACAGUGAAGAGGAAAAACCAUGACUGAAUGGGUCUGAAUCAUUCGUAUGAUUCCCUCAGGACUUGUGAGGGAAUUUCCAGUCCAGCUAGAAGUUGUAACACCUACUGCAAUGGCACAGGCUGCCAACAGGGCAGAUGAGCCCCCCCUGCAUAUGGAUAAGUAGAGGUUAACACUCCCCCCGGCUGUCGCUGUUGGGAGAGGAAAGAUGACAGAGUACAUACACCAAAGAGAGUACAUAUCACAGGACAAAGGAGCCCCAGAAAAGCCCAAAGAUAGCCAGCUUCCUGGUUUAGAAGGGAAACUUUUUAUCUUUGCAAAUAGACUCCAAGUUCAGGUUUGAAUGUCCUGAGUCAUAGAAGCCCCAGCUCUACACUAACCAGCACCCUGCUGAAUCCUACAGCUCGAAAGAGGAAGAUGAUGUGAACGACAAGUCCUAAUGUGGUCCGUAAUUACCAGCCGGCUUUCGGAAACUGGUGGGAGGGCAGAAUGGAGUUCUUUGGGCUUGUUCAGACACCGAAUCCACAGGCUCAAAACCCCUGAUAAAACUCGAUUUUGUUCCAGAGGAGUGUGUUGGUGUCCGGGAUCGACAAUGAAACUUUCUGAUGUCUCAGACACCUUUUAUCUCUGAUGAAUGAAACCAGACCACUUUCCUCGGUCCACAUUCUGUAUAGGGGGGAAAAGACAUGGUGAAGACACCGUUUGCCUCCUUUCCUGAGGCCCCAAGCUCGGGGCUGUAGAGCGUGUACCUACCUGGAGCUCAGUGUGUCAUUGAUGACUAAGUUGAGGAGUAGGCCUAGCGCUGAGGAGAUGAACCUUCUUUUCUGCUGAACCGUCUUUCUGUUCAAUGGCCAGAAGACUCUGGCAUUUUCCUGACUCAGGAAUUGGCAACGCUUCUGACUCAGCAAGCCAAGCCCUCAUUUAUUUACUCUAAGGUAGCAUGUGCCAGGAAUACAUUCUAACCUUUAGAAGUUCUGUUAAUCCAGGUUCUGGCCAAAGCCACUAUGUAGAAGAAUUCUCUUAUUAAGAUAAAACCCACUGAAACAUAAGAUCCAACAUAUGAAAUGUCUUUAAACUUCUGACACGGACUAGAUACUUGUUUUUUUGUUCCUCAUCUGAGGGAGAUUUUCUUCUUGCCUUAUGUGACUGGAGCAGCGGGGCACAUUUCUUGCAUCAGUGCCCCAGGUCAUUGUUUCGGGGCCCCUGAGAAGCUGCGUUGGUCACCCAAGGGCCAGGGCGAGCGGGGUUGCUGCCAGGGGUGUUGCUGAGCACGUAUCAGGGAUUAGCGGGUGUCAGCCUAUGAGAUGUGUCUUUUAGUUGGUGAAUCACCCAGAAUUCAUCAAGGUAAUGAUGAUACUUAUACUUACCUAAAGAGUAAAGAGAUUUAUUGACCAGCGGUUAGAUUGGCCAAAGACCCCGUAGGGAAGGUUCUAGAACUAGGUUUGGAAAGCAGGCAUAAACAAGAGAUGAGGCAUCCGCUGGGACCACAACCCUAAUCACACUCCAAUCAUACUCCCUAAUCAUACUUCUUGCUGGGUAACCAAAAAAGAAAAAUGUCUAUGAUGCUUGGCCACACGCUCUGCCGAUAUAUAUGCUCUUAGCAUGUCACCCGCGAUGUACCCAGGUACACGGGAACUUUCUGGUCGUCCUUGAUCCAUGGAACCAUGAUGCAUUGUACCUCCUCUUCUCUAAGCAGGAUACCCUUGGACCCCUUCUUUGCUGUAGGCCCCGGGAUGAAUCUGGAAGAGAUGCUGGUUCAGUCUUGCUGCCGUUGCAUGCUCUGUUGGCUGUCCUCAGGACAGCAGCCCAGGCUCCUCCAGGGUGUUCUGGGUCAUGAUGCUUCUCCUGGCCAAAAUCUCCCCCUUUUCAGCCCAUAGCUGGUCUGUAGUCCCAUGAAGCAAAAGGGUGUAAGGAACAAGGUGCCUGGGCCCUUACUCCUUCUUCCUGGGGUCUCUGCUGCCACAGCACAAAUCCUUUCAAAACUCUGGCCCAUGUUGCCUUGUGUAUCACAAAGGGGUCAAUCCCUUGUCUGGGGUUUCAUUUUGAGAAGUGCCUAGUCAUUGCUUUUGGUUAGAUAACUAUCAAAUAACAUACUACAUUUUUUUGGCACUAUAGUUUUCAAACAUUUCCACAAUGAGGAGCUCAUUGUCUUAGCCUCCUUUUGAAAUAGCCAGGGCCAUUUUUAUCCCCAUCAUGGAGUUGAGCCACUGAGGCCCAAAGGGCUCGAGGUCACACAGCUGCUAAGGGGUAGGGUUGGCCUUGGUUCUAGUUUACUUUACCCCUCACUUGGUGCUCCAUGGACUGUUGUGCGGCUUCUAAUGACAAUGACAUGUGCUGCUAUUAUGACGCACUCACCCAAGAUCCGGCAUCAUUGCUGGCAGUCAUGCUCCCUGUGAAGUUUGCAGACACUUGUCUCAGCUCUGUCUGGGCCCCAGGCCAGGCUGUGUGAGCCAGGUGCCCUCUAAGGAGGUGAGGUACUCUCACUAAGAAUGGUCUCUGCCUGCCGCUCUCACUCACUCCUGCUCGGGAAUUUUCUUGUCCCUGCUCGUCCUGGAUCUCUCAGAGGCAAGGCAAAAGCAGCUGAUGAAGUGGCCACAGUCCCCUAAGAGGAGGCCAAUGGGUGGAAUUCACAACAACCCCAGCCCUGAGGUUUGGAAGACAAACGACUUCUGUUUCAGACGAAUGGGAGUGUCAAGUUAUUCCAGCCCGAUGAGAUUACAGCUCAGAGGAUCACGAGGAAUCAAUUCCUCCAGAAGAGGAAAAAAACAGCUGGCACAGGAGCUCCGCAGGGCCUUUUGCUAAAGGGAGUUCUUCUUCCAUAAAAGGAGCCAACAAGAUUUUGAUCGUUUUCUUCAAUCUUUUUUGUUUUGUUUCAUUUUUAUAAAAAGAAGAGCAGCUUCUGCCCUGGAAUAAAACCUGAUCUGCAUUCUGACACAACACCCUUGGGCAGCCUGAGCACAUUCUGGAAUUACAGAAACAAACUCAUCUGAGAAACAAAAAAGUUCUAUUUAUCGUACCUGCAAGGAAAGUGCAAGUGCUCACUGAUGCCCAUGGUGGCCACCCUUGGGGAUCAGAAAGUGCCCUUGAAGACUGACCCAUUUGGGAGCCCCCAGACAGGUGCUCACCAUUAACUUUUUGGGAUUUCUCCCCCUCAGGGCAAUUCACUCCUUGGCUUUUAAGGUUGAAUAUGGGGUUCCCAAGUAGGAAUCUCACCUCCAUUUUGGGAGUCCUCUUGUCUCACCUUGAACCUCUCUGUUCCAUGAAGUUGGUGAAUGGCCUCCUUUGUUCUUAUGCUCAUCCCAGGCAUGAGUGCUAUUUACUCGUCUUCUCACACCCAGGGACUUUCUGUUCUUUUUUUUGCUCGGAGACUGGGUAGGGAAUGGAUAUGGGAGCACAGCAUGAUAUUUUCCCAUCGACUUGAGGGUGGAUGCGCCACCUAAUAACUUUGUGCCUCAGUUUCUUCAACAGCUCAAUAUUACCAUGUGAAUUCUUGCUGCCUUUGUCUCUAUUGGGAAGAGUACUUUUGAAGUGAGGAAAUUGAUUAAAUCUAAGGGUGUGUGGUUGGUGGACUGCAUGCAUUAAUUCUACAAAAAAUUAUAGGAGUCCCACUGUGUAACUGGCGCUGUUUUAGGCACAAAAGGUAUAGGAGAUCACUAAAACAUGGUUGGGGUAGAGUUGGGGCACAGACAAGUAAAAGGAUUUGAUAUGUUUAGUGUAGUGCCUGGUACAGUUCAACAAAUGGUAGCCCUUGUUUCUAUCUUCCUCCUCUUCCUCCUUCUCCUUCUUGUCCUCCCUAACCCACACUGUGCUAGGCCUGGGCAAACGAAGAGGAAGCUGUAAUUCCUUCGUGUAACUGGAUAAUCUGGAGGGAGAGAUAGACAUGCUAACUAGUCUGGAUGUGUAUGAGGUAGAACCUAGCAUGCUUAUCAGUUAUUCCUCACAAAGUCCUUUCACAGGCUAGGAAACGCAGGCUUUUGCAGUCAUAUGAUUUCUUUCAGACAUGCAAAUAGUACAGAGAAAAAAAAAAGCCAAAAUUCAAACCCAGGGCA